rnacentral:rRNA from 1 species
GUGGGGAAUAUUGGACAAUGGGCGCAAGCCUGAUCCAGCCAUGCCGCGUGAGUGAUGAAGGCCUUCGGGUUGUAAAGCUCUUUAGCCGAUGAUUAUAAUGACUGUAGUCGGAAAAUAAGCCCCGGCUAACUUCGUGCCAGCAGCCGCGGUAAUACGAAGGGGGCGAGCGUUAUUCGGAAUCACUGGGCGUAAAGCGUGCGUAGGCGGCUUUGCAAGUUGGGAGUGAAAGCCCAGGGCUCAACCCUGGAAUUGCUCUCAAAACUGCAAGGCUCGAAUGCGGGAGAGGAUAGCGGAAUUGUCAGUGUAGCAGUGAAAUGCGUAGAUAUUGACAGGAACACCAGUGGCGUAAGCGGCUAUCUGGACCGAUAUUGACGCUGAGGCACGAAAGCGUGGGGAUCAAACAGGAUUAGAUACCCCAGUAGUCC